rnacentral:rRNA from 1 species
CAUGCAUGUCUUAGAAGUAUAAUAGGAGGCGAUCCAUAAAUCUGCGAACGGCUCCGUAUAUCUGUUAUCACCCACGGCCACUAAAAAGAUCUCGGAUACCCACGGUAAUUCUGAGGCUAAUACGUAUACGUAGCUUGGGCCUCCAGGACAGGGCACCCUCCGCAAGGGGGGCGCCUGGGCUAGUCGCUUGUUGCCGGGGGGUCCCGCAAGGGGUCCGCUGUCAUGAUGGCAGGCUAGUGCACCACACUGCGGGGGCGAUAUGUCCCGUAGGGUGCGCCAAGGGAGCCAGCCCUAUUAACUAGGUGUCCGGGUAAGGCCCGGCCGCGGUGAUAACGGGUACAGAGGAUCAGGGUUCGGUCCUGGAGAGGAAGCCUGAGAGAUCGCUUCUACUUCUAAGGAAGGCAGCAGGCGCGCAACGUUCCCAAUGGGGAUACCCUGAGGACGUGAGGGGAUAUAGCAAUGCCCCGCCCAUAAAGCGGGGCAAUUGCAAUGGGGGUCCACUAAACCCUCCACCGAGUAACAAUUGGAG